rnacentral:misc_RNA from 1 species
UUUUGGCUUUCAUGGUCUUAAUUCUUGUUUGGUUGUGUGAACUAUUCACACUGAUCAGUGUGCGCACGCCAAUAUCAAUGAAGUUCUUUCCGCGUUUCUUUUUGCUCUAUUUUCUGGUUUUUCACAUCUACUUCUUUUCCUAUGCAUAUGGUUUUUCAUAUUUGGCUCUCUCUACAACUGCAGCAUUUAUGCAGCACCUCAUUCUAUAUUUUUGGAACCGCUUUGAGGUACCAGCUUUGCAAAGGUUUAUGCAAAACAGGAGAUCACAGCUUCAGCAACACCCGGACAUCCAAAUCACAUCCUCUACCAUCCUUGCAUCAACUUUACACAUUACGAGAUUGAACACUAGGAACGAAGGUUCAGGUAUUACAGACUUGGCCUCUGUUCCUGGAUUUAGACCUGGAUCUGACCAAGCAAUACCAGCAAAUGGAGUAGAGAAUCCUGGGCCUCAACAACCCCUGGGAAAUGACAACCUGGACAGGGUUGGUAACACUAUGCAGAUUCCAGGUCAGACAGAUCUUCGACAACCAGAAACUGGUCCCAGCCCUGGUUCCGUGAACUCAUUUAGUUCACUACUGUUAUGGAUCUUGGGAGGGGCUUCUUCUGAAGGCCUUAACUCACUUUUUUCAAUGUUUAGAGACGUAAGAGACCAAGGACAAGUUUAUGCUGACUCCCCCAGACCUGAAAACGGCGCAAACCAGGAUGUGCGAUGAUCGUGAGCAUUGCAUUUGAGAGGGA